CUGGCGGCGUGCCUAACACAUGCAAGUCGAGCGGGGACAUACGACGGAUCGGAAGUUUCGGAUGGAAGAGAAGAUGUAUGUUCUAGCGGCGGACGGGUGAGUAACGCGUGAGCAACCUGUCCUUCACAGGGGGAUAACACAGCGAAAGUUGUACUAAUACCGCAUGAGACCACACUGGGACAUCCCAGAGGGGUCAAAGGAGCAAUCCGGUGAAGGGUGGGCUCGCGUCCGAUUAGAUAGUUGGUGAGGUAACGGCCCACCAAGUCGACGAUCGGUAGCCGACCUGAGAGGGUGAUCGGCCACAUUGGGACUGAGACACGGCCCAAACUCCUACGGGAGGCAGCAGUGGGGAAUAUUGGGCAAUGGGGGAAACCCUGACCCAGCAACGCCGCGUGAGGGAAGAAGGUUUUCGGAUCGUAAACCUCUGUCCUUGGUGAAGAGUGAGAGACGGUAGCCAAGGAGGAAGCCCCGGCUAACUACGUGCCAGCAGCCGC
rnacentral:rRNA from 1 species